rnacentral:rRNA from 1 species
GAUGAACGCUGGCGGCGUGCCUAAUACAUGCAAGUCGAGCGGACGGACGAGAAGCUUGCUUUUCUGAUGUUAGCGGCGGACGGGUGAGUAACACGUGGAUAACCUACCUAUCAGACUGGGAUAACUUCGGGAAACCGGCGCUAAUACCGGAUAAUAUUUUGAACCGCAUGGUUCAGAAGUGAAAGACGGUCUUGCUGUCACUUAUAGAUGGAUCCGCGCUGCAUUAGCUAGUUGGUAAGGUAACGGGCUACCAAGGCAACGAUGCAUAGCCGACCUGGGAGAGUGGUAGGCCACACUGGAACUGAAACACGGUCCAGAGGCCUACGGGAGGCAGCAGUAGGGAAUGUUCCGCAAUGGGCGAAAGCCUGACGGAGCAACGCCGCGUGAGUGACGACGGUCUUCGGAUCGUAAAACUCUGUUAUUAGGGAAGAACCUCUGUGUAAGUAAAUGUGGACAUAGUGACGGUACCUAAUCAGAAAGCCACGGCUAACUACGUG